AGAGGGGUCCGCGCCUGAUUAGCUAGUUGGUGAGGUAACGGCUCACCAAGGCUUCGAUCAGUAGCCGUCCUGAGAGGGAGCACGGCCACACUGGAACUGAGACACGGUCCAGACUCCUACGGGAGGCAGCAGUGGGGAAUUUUUGGCAAUGGGCGAAAGCCUGACCAAGCAACGCCGCGUGGGUGAUGAAGUAUCUUGGUACGUAAAACCCUUUCGGCAGGGACGAAAAAAAUGACGGUACCUGCGGAAGAAGCCCCGGCUAACUCCGUGCCAGCAGCCGCGGUAAUACGGGGGGGGCAAGCGUUGUUCGGAAUUACUGGGCGUAAAGGGCGCGUAGGCGGUUGGAUAAGUCAGCUGUGAAAACCACGGGCUUAACUCGUGGCCUGCAGUUGAGACUGUCUGGCUUGAGUGUGGGAGAGGAGAGUGGAAUUCCUGGUGUAGCGGUGAAAUGCGUAGAUAUCAGGAGGAACACCGGAGGCAAAUGCGGCUCUCUGGACCACAACUGACGCUGAGGCGCGAAAGCUAGGGGAGCAAACAGGAUUAGAUACCUGGUAGUCCUAGCUGUAAACGAUGGUUACUUGCUGUGGGGGGUGUUAAAUCCCCCUGUGGCGGAGCUAACGCAUUAAGUAUCCCGCCUGGGGAGUACGGUCGCAAGGCUGAAACUCAAAGGAAUGACGGAGGCCCGCACAAGCGGUGGAGCAUGUGGUUCAAUUCGACGCAACGCGAAGAACCUUACCUGGGCUUGAAUUGGAGUGGAAGUUGGCAGAGAUGUCAAUGUCCUUUACCGGACUGCUCUAGAGGUGCUGCAUGGCUGUCGUCAGCUCGUGUCGUGAGAUGUUGGGUUAAGUCCCGCAACGAGCGCAACCCUUGUCCUUAGUUGCUAACGAGUCAAGUCGAGAACCCUAAGGAAACUGUCGGUGAUAAACCGGAGGAAGGUGGGGGUGACGUCAAGUCCUCAUGGCCUUUAUGUCCAGGGCUACACACGUGCUACAAUGGGCGGUACAAAGGGCAGCAAACCCGCGAGGGGGAGCCAAUCCCAUAAAACCGUUCUCAGUUCGGAUUGCAGUCUGCAACUCGACU
rnacentral:rRNA from 1 species